CAUGGAUAAAUGCUUCCCACUCCCUGAAGGUCCUUCGUGGCAGAGAGGAGCUUGGGGAAUGAGGACUUGGGGUAGGGAAGAACAAGACAGAGCCAGGGACUGAAAGUUAAGGGUCCAGGAACAAGACCACUCAUACUUGGAUCCUUGGGGUCCUCAUUUGGAAGUAGGGGGAAUCAUUGCCCUGGCUGAGGUGAGGAUGCCUUCUGAGAAAACUAGACACCCCAGAGGGGAGUGGCAAAGAGGGCGGCAGGAGUGUCUUCUGAGGUCCCUUCCACAGCCCUGAAAUCCUUCAGGGCCUGCUGUUUUACUCCUGGGACUCCGGAGAGCCUUUGCCUUGAGGUCACCCAAAGAAAGAUUCCUGCCUGGGGCUGCAGUGCUAGUGCUGGCCACCAGGGGACAGGCAGCCUCCUGGUUCAUGGUGCCCACUGAGCUUUGCUGGAGCAAUUGGGGCAGGAAGAGCCAUGCAGAAUGUCAUUUCGGCCACGCCUCUGCUUCAGAAACAAUAUGCACCUCCUACGAUUAGUGAUCAUUUCUACAGAAUGAGCUGGGCAGAGGCAGGAAGAAGAGCUCCAAGAUCUCCCCAUUUAUUUAUUUAUUCGGAGAUUUAUUUAUUUAUUUAUUCCGAGAUUAUGGCUCACCCUGUGCCAGGUGCCAAAUGGUCUCUCUCUUCCAGGAGCUUUCAGUCUGGAGGAGAGAAGGACAAAAGCACAGAAGCAAGACAUGUGAAAGAAAAGAAGCUCCACCCAGGACAUUGUCAAGGAGCUGGUUGAUGGGUUCAACUCCUCCAUCUCACUAGACAAGGGGCAGAUGCAUCUGGCGAUGAACAAUGGCCAACACUGGUCUGGGGUUUCUAUUUUGUCCCUUAUUUCUCGGCAUUAGUUUUAACUGAAGGCUCAAUUCCUAGCCUGAUGUCAGCAAAAUGGUGGAAUAAGCUCUUCCACCACUUAUCCCGUUGUGGAAACUUCAAUUCGAAUAAUGAUCCACUCAUGAAAAUAUCUUCACAAGAGCCAAAGAUUCCAGGUCACCAAGCUCUACAGAGGCAGCCAGCUAUGAGACAUAUUCCGCUCCUGCCGGUCACCGGCUUGAGGUAAGUUGAGAAGACUGGAAGCACUGCCUGAGCUGGAAGCUGGUGGCUCUGAGCUCCCGUGUCAAAUCCUUCAUCUAAAAGUCACUGACACUUGGCCCACUCUCUCCCAUAUCCCUGCCAGCGAAUCCUACCAUCUCCUUCCAUGGGUUUCAGGGGGUGGGAAAAGCAUUAACCUCAUGGGGCCACCAACCCCCAGCACCCACCUCCUUCUCCUCUUCUGGACACUUGCAACGAAUAUCAGCCCAAUAAUAACACUGACCACGGCCAA